rnacentral:tRNA from 2 species
GUCAGUAUGUCCGAGUGGUUAAGGAGUUAGACUUGAAAUCUAAUGCGCACUGCGCUCGCAGGUUCAAAUCCUGCUGCUGACG